CCUACGGGUGGCACCAGUGGGGAAUAUUGCACAAUGGGCGCAAGCCUGAUGCAGCCAUGCCGCGUGUAUGAAGAAGGCCUUUGGGUUGUAAAGUACUUUCAGCGAGGAGGAAGGCGUUAAGGUUAAUAACCUUGGCGAUUGACGUUACUCGCAGAAGAAGCACCGGCUAACUCCGUGCCAGCAGCCGCGGUAAUACGGAGGGUGCAAGCGUUAAUCGGAAUUACUGGGCGUAAAGCGCACGCAGGCGGUCUGUCAAGUCGGAUGUGGAAUCCCCGGGCUCAACCUGGGAACUGCAUUCGAAACUGGCAGGCUAGAGUCUUGUAGAGGGGGGUAGAACUCCAGGUGUAGCGGUGAAAUGCGUAGGGAUCUGGAGGAAUACCAGUGGCGAAGGCGGCCCCCUGGACAAAGACUGACGCUCAGGUGCGAAAGCGUGGGGAGCAAACAGGAUUAGAUACCCUCGUAGUC
rnacentral:rRNA from 1 species